rnacentral:rRNA from 1 species
UACGGAGGGUGCAAGCGUUAUCCGGAUUCACUGGGUUUAAAGGGUGCGUAGGCGGGCAGGUAAGUCCGUGGUGAAAUCUCUGAGCUUAACUCAGGAACUGCCAUGGAUACUAUUUGUCUUGAAUAUUGUGGAGGUAAGCGGAAUAUGUCAUGUAGCGGUGAAAUGCUUAGAUAUGACAUAGAACACCAAUUGCGAAGGCAGCUUACUACACAGUAAUUGACGCUGAGGCACGAAAGCGUGGGGAUCAAACAGG